rnacentral:tRNA from 1 species
GGGCGGGUGGCGGAAUUGGUAGACGCACCACACUCAAAAUGUGGCGGCCUUACGGUCAUAGGAGUUCGAUUCUCCUCCUGCCCAC